rnacentral:rRNA from 1 species
GACGAACGCUGGCGGCGUGCUUAACACAUGCAAGUCGAACGGAAAGGCCCUGCUUUUGUGGGGUGCUCGAGUGUCGAACGGGUGAGUAACACGUGAGUAACCUGCCCUUGACUUUGGUAUAACUUCAGGAAACUGGGGCUAAUACCGGAUAGGAGCUCCUGCUGCAUGGUGGGGGUUGGAAAGUUUCGGCGGUUGGGGAUGGACUCGCGGCUUAUCAGCUUGUUGGUGGGGUAGUGGCUUACCAAGGCUUUGACGGGUAGCCGGCCUGAGAGGGUGACCGGCCACAUUGGGACUGAGAUACGGCCCAGACUCCUACGGGAGGCAGCAGUGGGGAAUAUUGCAAAAUGGGCGGAAGCCUGAUGCAGCAACGCCGCGUGCGGGAUGACGGCCUUCGGGUUGUAAACCGCUUUCGCCCGUGACGAAGCGUGAGUGACGGUAAUGGGUAAAGAAGCACCGGCUAACUACGUG